UUCGUUACACAAAAAGAUCUAUUGUAGACUUAAAUAGUAAAUUAAUUCAACAUGAUUGAAUAAGAAACCAAAAUCCACAAAUAAAAUAGCAUUCUGAAUACAAGAUUAAAGAUGAAGAGAGAAAGAUAAAAACUAUGAAGUAAUAUGCUGCUCUUCUCCACGUUGGUCUUGAAUACCCCGUGUUAACCUCCUUGCUUCAAUUCUCCAAAUUUGAUGUUAAAACUAAGGUUUAGUUGAUUGUGAUAAUGAAUAAAUGAAUGUCCUUCUUUGCCCUUCUAGUUCUGCUUCUUAUACUCUUCCAAUUGUAACCCAAAUCCAUGACCAGUAGCCUUCCCGAGUCUAACCUUACUAAGGAAAUAAUAAGUCUUCUUCCGCGCACCCCAGCGGGUAUAUUUGCCUUGGAUAGGCCUGCUCUCGAUAGGUGUAUGGUAAUGAAUGUACAUAUUUUGUCCUCUUUUUCCUAAUUUCGCUCUCCAGUCCAAUUCCAGCAAAAUAAACACAGGAAAAAAGUAAAACGAUAACAAGAUUACUCAAAGUAGCAAAGAAUCAAGCUUGGAAGAUAGCCGAUUUGUAGGUGUAAAACACACUCAUCAGUUAUCGAUUUCUUAACUGAUGUGGUUUGUUCCUGAAUUUUAAGUUUUU
rnacentral:lncRNA from 1 species